rnacentral:tRNA from 1 species
UGACACAAUGGUUAAGUGCUCGGCUGUUAACCGAAAGGUCGGUGGUUUGAAUCCACC